rnacentral:rRNA from 1 species
UCGAGGAUCUUCCGCAAUGGGCGAAAGCCUGACGGAGCGACACCGCGUGCAGGAUGAAGGCCUUCGGGUUGUAAACUGCUGUCACGCUAUAGGAACCCCGCAAGGGUUGACUAAAGCGAGAGGAAGCAACGGCUAACUCUGUGCCAGCAGCCGCGGUAAGACAGAGGUUGCAAACGUUGUUCGGAAUCACUGGGCAUAAAGCGCACGUAGGCGGCCAAUUAAGUCAGGUGUGAAAUCCCCCGGCUCAACCGGGGAACUGCGCCUGAUACUGAAUGGCUUGAGAAUGGUAGGGGUGAGCGGAACUCCAGGUGGAGCGGUGAAAUGCGUAGAUAUCUGGAGGAACACCGGUGGCGAAAGCGGCUCACUGGACCAUAACUGACGCUGAGGUGCGAAAGCUAGGGUAGCAAACGGGAUUAGAUACCCCUGUAGUCC